rnacentral:tRNA from 1 species
GGAGCUGUAGCUCAGUGGUAGAGCACCUGUCUAGCAGGCCCAAGGCCCUGGGUUCAAAACCCAGUACCA